CAGCAGCCGCGGGAACACGUAGGGGGCAAGCGUUAUCCGGAAUUACUGGGUGUAAAGGGAGCGUAGACGGUUAAACAAGUCUGAAGUGAAAUGCCGGGGCUCAACCCCGGAGCUGCUUUGGGAACUGUAGAACUGGAGUGUCGGAGGGGUAAGCGGAAUUCCCAGUGUAGCGGUGAAAUGCGUAGAUAUUGGGAGGAACACCGGCGGCGAAGGCGGCUUACUGGACGACAACUGACGUUGAGGCUCGAAGGCGUGGGUAGCAAACAGGAUUAGAUACCCCCGUAGUCCCUGUCUCUUAUAC
rnacentral:rRNA from 1 species